UCCAUUAGGAGGGAUUCACUUAUUCACAUCUCUUUUUUAAUCUGUCCUGGCAGCUAAAUAUUCGGGCCUGUGGGUUUGCGCUAAAGCUGUGGUAACAUAGUGUUAAAGUAUAUGUUCCACUAGACUCGCUCCGGGUUCGUGUCCCUAACUAUUGUUAGUACGGACUGAGUUUACAGGGGCAUUUUUUCCCCUUCAUUUUUUCGGGAGAUAUCAUGUAUGCAACACCCUGUAUAUUUGGUUUAGAGAACAAAGGCAGUGAAUUCAAACAACAGGAAGGGGAUGUCGAGACAUUCUGUCUACAACCGAGGUGGGGGGCACCGGGCGCUGAUUAGAGAUAUCAUUGUUUAACCCACCCCAGGCGGUCGGCAGAUAUCUGGACAUGCCGUAUGCAUGAUAGUGCACACCUUGGUUUCAAACGAUUCUCUACAGAUAGAAUGGGGCUACAUGCUUGGGCCCCUGUUGAACACACACACCCCCUUUUGUUUUUGAAACGCACACACACUCUUGCUGCUCCGUCACACGCACACUCACUCACGCACCCUGAUUUUCCAUGUCUUUUUUUUGUUGUUGUUCGGGACAGACCGGGGUUAUGGAUGGAAAGGACAUUUUCCUAUCGUUAAAGGACAUUACAUUUCUCUGCGACAGACCCUGGCGUGAGAGAAAAGACAGCUUCCCCUAUCGUUAAAGGAUAAAGGGUCCGGUUAGCCCUGACCAUUAUCCGUUUCGAAUUCACCAUCGCAAAGACGCUUGCCCGCUCCAUCAAAACUCUGUAAGUUUUCCCUCCAUGUGUAGAUCAACCGUCCUGCAUGUAAAUCCUGGGUAUGCCCAUGUAACAGGGUUAUAUUGGUGAUUCCCCUUGCCACUUUAUUGUUAAGCCAAUGGGUUUUUGGUUUGAGUUUGUUUUGCCUUC